CUAGUCUGUAUGGCAUAGACUAUUGCUCCUAGGCUACAAUCCAGUAGAGCAUGUUACUAUAUUAAAUAACACAGGCAAUUGUAACACGAUGAGUGGGAAGAUGAAAUCAGCUGAUAAGUCCAUGGAGUAAUUUAUAUGUCAAAUCUAAAUUCAAGCUAUAAUGUCAAGCUAAGGAAUCAUUUGCUUUUAAUAUGAAAAUGGCUUUUGUUGACAGAAAAUUGGUGAAGGUAAUUACACACAAGAGAAGAAGAAGGAAGCAGAAGCCCAAGCUCUUCACUCAACAAGGACUGAAUCCAUGCUUAAAUACUUAAUACUUGUUGAAUGAAUAAAUGAAUGAACAAAUGAAAUCCAACAAAACAUCCAAGAGGAGGUGGAAUUUUAGGUAUUCUUUGUCAUGAGUAGGUAACAGCUCAUUUUCA